GACGAACGCUGGCGGCGUGCUUAACACAUGCAAGUCGUACGGUAAGGCCCUUUCGGGGGUACACGAGUGGCGAACGGGUGAGUAACACGUGAGUAACCUGCCCACAACUUUGGGAUAACGCUAGGAAACUGGUGCUAAUACUGGAUAUGUGCUCCUGCUGCAUGGUGGGGGUUGGAAAGCUCCGGCGGUUGUGGAUGGACUCGCGGCCUAUCAGCUUGUUGGUGGGGUAGUGGCCUACCAAGGCGGCGACGGGUAGCCGGCCUGAGAGGGUGACCGGCCAGAUUGGGACUGAGAUACGGCCCAGACUCCUACGGGAGGCAGCAGUGGGGAAGAUUGCACAAUGGGCGCAAGCCUGAUGCAGCAACGCCGCGUGCGGGAUGACGGCCUUCGGGUUGUAAACCGCUUUCAGCAGGGACGAAGCUUUUUGUGACGGUACCUGCAGAAGAAGCACCGGCUAACUACGUG
rnacentral:rRNA from 1 species